UCCGUGGCUGGAGCCUCAGAAUGUGGAUUGGAGAGAGGUCCAGAUGGCCGGUGACUUUAGUGAAAUCCUCUCCAGUCAAAAACACCAGGUUAUACAAUGAGUUGACGACAAAGUUGGGAAAGCAUUGAAGAAAUUUGUAGAGAAGGAAGCAAAGGUGAGAGAGAAAGAUGAUUGCAAUGGAAAGGAAGGUGUCUGGCAAAGGAGGGACCAAUUCUUCAUAUUAUUUGAAAGUCUCACCAGUUCAAUGGAUGUUAUGGAUGCCACAGUUCAGGAAGAUGUCUGCUGUUACACCUCAGAGCACCUAAGUUUCUAUAGCGUUGGAUGGACUUAGCCAAAAGGAACUACAGUCUUUCAGGCUCCCAAACCAGUUUGCAUAUUGAGCUUCCCAGAACUAUUUUCAACCACCUGGAGCAGCUGAGCAUGAAGAACACCAUUCUCGAUGUCUUUAGCUACAAAUUGCUAACCGCCCCAAACCACCAACAUCCCAAGAAGUCAGUAAGGACAAGAAUAUCCUGUUGUGAGGACUGGUGGAACUGGACUUUGCUGGGGACCAACUCGCUAACCCAUCAAUGAAGUACGAGUCUAGUCUUUUGCCUGAUGACUGAAUCUCAAGCCCGUCUAUGAAGGGCAAACCCAGCCUCACCUCAUCCAGCACCAAUGAACUCUUCCUUAAUACAACUCACCUCCUCCUCCCCCUUUCCCAUAAAAACCAUAAGCCCCUCUCCUGUAAUCGGGACACUAUUUGAGCUUCUAGCUGAAUCUGUGUCUCUUGAAUUGCAAUUCUAAUUCCUCACAGAAAUUUCUGUUGUUUGAAUUGUAGUGGAUUUUUCCUCUGUCGACACUUUCUGGCUGUGUGACAUGGGCAACUCAAUUAACCUCUCUG
rnacentral:lncRNA from 1 species